rnacentral:misc_RNA from 1 species
GAUGAAGAACGUAGCGAAAUGCGAUAAGUAAUGUGAAUUGCAGAAUUCAGUGAAUCAUCGAGUCUUUGAACGCACAUUGCGCCCCCUGGUAUUCCGGGGGGCAUGCCUGUCCGAGCGUCAUUGCUGCCCUCAAGCACGGCUUGUGUGUUGGGCCGUCGUCCCCGUCCUAGGGGACGGGCCCGAAAGGCAGCGGCGGCACCGCGUCCGGUCCUCGAGCGUAUGGGGCUUCGUCACCCGCUCCGUAGGCCCGGCCGGCGCUUGCCGACGACCAUCAAUCUCUUUCUCCAGGUUGACCUCGGAUCAGGUAGGGAUACCCGCUGAACUUAAGCAUAUCAAUAAGCGGAGGA